AGGUCAUUGAGCUUAUCCUCUUCCCGGGCUGAUUUGUUCCGCUGUAACCAGCUCUGCGUCUGAAGGGCCGCUGUGCUUUGCAGCAAGGAAAAAAAAAUCUCUGGAAACGAGACCCAAGGCAGCCCAAAGUGCCUGAAAGCAUGUGUAGCUUUUCCAAGUGCUCCAGCUGACCUAAUAAACGGUGUCCCCUCUCCCUGCCCUUGCCUCACUUACAUCUCGCACCAUCCUCUCUCCGACGCCUCUGCUGCACCACUGUGCUUGUUCCUGCUCUGCUGAGCCCACAAAUGAAGGCACAGCCUCGAGGAGCUGCUGUGGGAGGUGCUCCACUGGCCCAGUUUGGAGGGGGGAAGCACAGGCAUCGUGUGGUGGAGCUGCUCGGUCUGUAAACCACCCAUCCCACCUCGCCUCUGCCGUGUGGCAGGGGCUGGUGGGAGGUAAGUGAAGCUGCUGGUGACACUGCAGACCAGGGAGCAAGGCUGACCUGAUGAUCAUCUCGUUAGAUGCAUCCCAAAGCCCUUCUCAGGCUGAGUUCCUUGGCCUCUGCUGCUGCUGUUGGAAGAGUCCUGCACACAGCUCUCCCACCAUGCCCAUCAAACCUCAGAAAAGGAGGAUGAAUGGGAAGGAGGAUCACCCUGCACACAGAGGUAAAUGUGGGGAGGGAAACCUUAACCAAGCAGGGGAGAUUUCUGUCUUUAGCCACUACUGAAACUUCCAUCUGUGCCUGUGCUGGGGGUAGUGCGCAGCUAAUGAUGCAUUUGGAAAUACAUUUUGGUCUGAGAUGUCCAAUGAGUUUGGCUUUUUGAUGCCUGCACAAGUGGACUCCGUGUACUUAAACAUCUCCCUGACGGAAUUAGAAAGUGAGUGCUGUGUAAGCGGAGACGAGGAUCUUCUGCGAGACUGACUUUGAGGUGCCACUCUCCAAAAGCCAGAGUGGUGAAAGCUGGGAUUUUGACUUUGCCUCUUUUCCAGAGAGGUCUGGGGCCAUCCAGCCCGGCCCUGCUGCCGGGGGCAUUGCUGCAGGGUGGCAACUGGCCCAUUCCCUCUCCUGACAUUUGCAUUUGCUCAAACAAAAGGCUCAUUCUGGCUGGAGCUGUGGCCGGGCUCUCGCCCCGUCCGGUUCCCAGUUGCUUUUUGGAAAGAGCUGUGCUGGAUUGCCCGGUUUGAGCACUCCUGUGGGGCACUGUCAGCUUGGAUAUUUUGGUCUUUUGUCAUAUAUAAAAAGAUGUCUGUGUUAUUUGCAAGCAGUUAGUCAUCUGCUAGCCAGAAUGGGGUUGUUUCCCUUAAGGAUGUUUAGGAUCACACAGCUUGUACAGGCAGAGGGGAAAAUGUCUGAAGAUGUUGGGAUUAAUCAUAUAACUGCUGCAGUUAUCUUCAUCCAGAGCCUUAUCUUCCACUGCCCGUUAGAGCUCCUGAACUUGAGGGCUGUAUCUGAUCUCCAGCCUUUCCCAUAAUGACAUUUAUCCAGGCAGGCUGGAAGACAAAGGGGAGCCCAGGCAGUAGAACCUCUAGCCAGUUCUUUCUUUCUUUACUUAUUUUUUGUUGGUUUUUCUU